rnacentral:lncRNA from 10 species
GAGGCAAGACUGGACAGAGGGAGAAGCUGACUCACAUUGCAGUUACAAGUGAGGCCUCAGCUUAUCCUACUUGGAGCCCUAGAGCUGAAUGAACUUCUAGAGUUGUUUUAAAUUGAGGUGAGGGACUGAGCCUGUGUAUUUAUUCCCCAUCAGCCAUUCAUUAUGCUUGCUGGCAGAGGGCAUAACCUUGAGUGAGGCACACUAUGAAAUGUCAGAAGCCUAUUUCCGCAACAGCUUGGAGAUGGAACUGAAUAUGACAGUUCCAGUCUCUUCAGAUAAUUUACAUCAGCCAAUGUCCAAAGAAGUGAAAUAACUUAUUCAAGAUAACACUGCAGGGAGUCAUUCUGCAGACGAGGAGAUGUGAAAAUCCAAGGACCUUGGGGUCAAUUUCACUCAGGCAACAGCCUGGAGAAUAUGAGCCAUAAUUUAUGGAGAUUUAAGAAUUAAUAACAAAAACAUAUCAAAUGCUAAUGACAAAUUCAGAGCUGAAAUGAAACACAAAACCAAGAAUCGGUGCUUAGCAGAAUUUGGUAUGAAGCAGAAAGAGAAAAGUAAAAUUAGCAGAUCAAGGCUUCCAGAAAGGUGGAUGCGUAUGAGGUCCCUAGCCCCAGUACCCUCACAGAAACACAGUUUAGCAACUAUUCAUAGAAAAGAAUGCCUUUGUGAGAAUUCCAAAAGUUGAGCACCCUGGUAGAGUGAAAAAAAUUGCAUUAAAAAAGAUAAAAAUAACCCUUCUUUGUCAGAAGCAAUCCUGCCCAAUCCAGCACAACACAGAGCCAAGAAAGAUCCUGUUGACCCGUGAUUUCUUCAGUGGAGUAAAGAGAGAUCAUGGUGGAUGUUGAACUUCCCCAGCAUUUCAGGGCAUUGCUCUAGAGACCCACUUAUGCCUCACCUCAUAUCACACACUGGGGAAAUUGGCAUGGCUAGACCACCUGGGAACAAUCAGGAAUAACAGAAAGAGGCAGGGGCUCUCAGCAGCCAGUGCAUACAGAUCUCAGAGGCAGUCCCACAGCCCCUGUGAGCAGCCUUGCCUGACUGUGGCCCUAACCAACAACUCCAUCAAACCAAAGAGUCAAGUCGGCUGGCUCCACCCAACUAUAGAGCUCAGAGAGCAGGCUCACAUAACCUUAGAGCCCAGGCAACCAGCCCCACCCACCUGUGAAGCCCUACCAGACAACCAUGCUCAAAAGUAAAACUUUGGUAACAGGCUCCAUUUAACCAAGAAUUCAACAGGCCCUGUUUCAACUUUGAACCCAAUGGACCUCACUCACAGGCCUCACUUGCCCACAGAUAACUGCCAUCUGGCCCACCCAGAGUCCUAAGCUAGGCUGACUAGUGAAAGUCUUUCCCUGCUAAGAACAGACUAUAAAGACUGGAAGAGAGAACCACUUCUUCAAAUGUGCAGACAUAAAUGUAAGAAUAUAAGGAUCAUGAGAAAUUAAGGAAACUUGAUAACACCAUAGGAAACUAAAAAAGUUUCAAUAAUUGACCCCAAAUAAAUGAUGAUCUACGAAGUGCCUUACAAAGAAAAAUAAUAAUCGUCUUAAAGAAGCUUAGUGAACUAUUAGGCAGACAACUAAACAAAAUUAGAGAGGCAAUACAUAAACAAAAUGAGAAGUUCAAAAAGAAAUGAAAACCAUAAAACCAAAGAAACAGAAAUCCUGGAUUUGAAGAAUACAAUAACUAAACUGAAAAAAAAUUAAUAGAGGGCUUCAACAAAUGACCCAAUUAAGCAGAAGAAAGAAGUAGUUACCUUGAAGACAGGUCAUUUAAAUUAUGUAGUCAGAGAAGCUAAAAGGAUAAAGAAUGAAAAACACCGAAGAACCCCUACAGGACAUAUGAGACACCAUCAAGUAGUUCAAUAUACACAUUAUGAGAGUCUCUGAAGGAGAAAAGAAAGAGAAGGGGAGAAAAAAGUGUUUUCAAGGUUAUGAAGAAAUUGGAAUUCUUGUACACUGUUGGUGAGAAUGUAAAAUGGUAUAGCCACUAAGAAAAACCAGUAUGUAGGUCCCUCAAAGAAAUAAAAAUAAAACUUCCGUAUGAUCCAGUAAUCCCACUUCUAGGUGUAUAUCUGAAAGAAUUGAAAUCAGGAACUUGAAAUGAUAUCUGUACUCCCAUGUUCCUUCCAGCAUUAUUCACAAUAGUUAAGGUAUGGAGUUGUUACUAUUAUAAAUGGAUAUAAAGUUACAGUUAUACAGUAUGAGUAAGUUCCAGAAUUCUGCUGUACAACAUAAUGCCUGUAGUUAACAAUAAGGUAUUGUGCACUUUAAAAGGUAGUACAAGGAUAGAGCUCAUGUUAAGUGUUCUCAUCACAAAUUUUAAAAAAAGAAACAAAAAAUAAAGUGGCACAUGGAAACUUUUGGAUGUGAUGAAUAUAUUGAUUACCUUGAUUGUGGCAAGGUAACACUGGUAUAUGCAUAUGUUUGAACUCACCAAAUUGUACACACUAUGUGCAGUUUUGUGCACCAAAUAUACCUCAAUAACUUUGGGGAAAAUUAAAUUUAUUUUUUAAAAAAGUUUAGAUCAGGUCAUGUACAAUUGCCCUAACUGGGAGAUGAUUUGUCCAUAAGCCAUUUUUAAUAUCUCAUGACUCAACAUACAGCAACAGCUAAGAUUGGCUUAAUGGUUCACCACACACUCCUUUAGAUGGUCACAGAAUUGGAAGGAACCAGAAUGAACUAUGAAUAUGAAAAUCCAUCAAUAAUUUACAAAAUAGCCUUUAAAUUCUUUAUUGCUGAUUUUAUAACUAUUUUACUUUUUAUUUUAUUUAUAAGAGAAAAUUGUGUUGAUACAUGAGGAACGUUCCUCACUAUUUGACUAUGGCUUCAUCAUAGCAUAUGUUAGUCUGCUAGUAUCAGAAAAUUUGUGUGACACCUGCAAACUAAUCAGAGUUUCUAGGUUAAAGGGUGUGUCAGACACUCUGGAUAAAGUUCUUUCUCUGGAUUAAACUAGAAAUCUCAGGACCUGUAUAUUCUAACAUCUUGUUCAGUAGGGAAAAAUGGUAUGGGUGGUGGGAAGAGGCCAUUGAGUACAACUAGUCUCAUACAACUAGAGCCAGGUUUCCUAAUGAAAAUUGCAAUGUUAGGAUGUUCUCCACUUUACUAAAAGUCAUAAGUUUUAGAAAGUUAUUUCUUUUUCGGAGUCAUAUCUUCCUCCCUGAGAGUUCCAUUCCAUUAUCCUAAAGUUUCUCUGGAACCACUCAAAGUAGCUUCACUCUCUCUGAGAGAAAACUCUUUAAUAUUUGACAGUUUUUAUCAUUGCCUUCAGUGUCUUCUGUUCUCCAAAGAAGACACAUAUAACAAUGAGGCUAAACUAACCAGCUUCAACAGAAAGGUCUUAGAAAUGAUGCCAGUAUAUUUAUUGGCUUAAUAUAGACACAAUUAUCCAUUCUGAGCAGAGAUGACAAAAUUACAUCUUUGACAGAGCAAAGUUCUUCAUAAGGGGACCACUUGUGGGCAAAUUUUGGGAUGUAUGUACCCUUGUUUAUUUUUACUUCACUUUUAUCAUAUUUUCAGAUGGACUUUAUUACUCAAAAAGACUAAGAAUAAUUGACUUGUUGAAGACUUUAUUAUAAACAUAUUGCACAGUUCUCCUUGGUCACAUUAUAAGAACAUUUGGGUAUGUCUGUGACUCAUCAGUGAUUAUCAGUGGGCAAAUGUGAACAACUACUGUGGUAUCUUCAGCAAAGUCCUGCAGCCUCACAUAAAUAAAUGAAAGGAAAAACUGGGGAAGGAAAGAAGAGAAAGCAAAGGAAAAAAGGAAGGAAG